AUCCUACGGGGGGCAGCAGUAGGGAAUCUUCCACAAUGGACGAAAGUCUGAUGGAGCAACGCCGCGUGAGUGAAGAAGGGUUUCGGCUCGUAAAGCUCUGUUGGUAGUGAAGGAAGAUAGAGGUAGUAACUGGCCUUUAUUUGACGGUAAUUACUUAGAAAGUCACGGGUAACUACGUGCCAGCAGCCGCGGUAAUACGUAGGUGGCAAGCGUUGUCCGGAUUUAUUGGGCGGAAAGCGAGUG
rnacentral:rRNA from 1 species